rnacentral:rRNA from 1 species
CCAGACUCCUACGGGAGGCAGCAGUGGGGAAUAUUGGGCAAUGGGCGCAAGCCUGACCCAGCAACGCCGCGUGAAGGAAGAAGGCUUUCGGGUUGUAAACUUCUUUUAAGAGGGAAGAGCAGAAGACGGUACCUCUUGAAUAAGCCACGGCUAACUACGUGCCAGCAGCCGCGGUAAUACGUAGGUGGCAAGCGUUGUCCGGAUUUACUGGGUGUAAAGGGCGUGUAGCCGGGCUGACAAGUCAGAUGUGAAAGUCCGGGGCUCAACCCCGGACCUGCAUUUGAAACUGUUGGUCUUGAGUAUCGGAGAGGCAGGCGGAAUUCCUAGUGUAGCGGUGAAAUGCUUAGAUAUUGCGCAGAACUCUGAUUGCGAAGGCAGCAUACCGGCGGCGAUCUGACGCUGAGGCACGAAAGCGUGGGUAUCGAACAGGAUUAGAUACCCCCGUA